CCUUAAUGCUCUCCCUUAAUGUUAUUUCCCCCUCUAAACCAGUGUUGUGAUGUUCACAUGGCCUCAUGCCUCCUCCCAUAGGAUAUACAACUGGAUACAGAAAAGCAAUAUCAGGCUAAUUGGAGGAAAGCAAAAGAGAUGUACAAUCCCACACCUCAAGAACUAGGUGAAAUAAUAAGGUUUCUUUACAUUAAUGCCAUAUUCAGCCAGAGCUGGGGUAAG